AGAGUUUGAUCAUGGCUCAGGACUAACGCUGGCGGCGUGCCUAACACAUGCAAGUCGAACGCAUCUGUGCUUCGGUACAGAUGAGUGGCGAACGGGUGAGUAACACGUGAGUGACUCCCCUUGGGGAGGGGGAUAACCAUCUGAAAAGGUGGCUAAUACCCCAUAUUCUCCUUUUUUGCCAAAGAAAGGAGGAAAGAUGGCGUAAGCUAUCACCCCGAGAGAGGCUCGCGUCCCAUCAGCUAGUUGGUAGGGUAAUGGCCUACCAAGGCUAUGACGGGUAGCUGGUCUGAGAGGAUGGUCAGCCACACUGGGACUGAGACACGGCCCAGACUCCUACGGGAGGCAGCAGUGAGGAAUCUUGGGCAAUGGGCGAAAGCCUGACCCAGCGACGCCGCGUGGAGGAAGAAGGCCUUCGGGUCGUAAACUCCUGUUCGGGGAGAAGAACAGGAGAGAAGUGAAUGACUUCUCUCCCUGACGGUAUCCCCGGAGAAAGCUCCGGCUAAUUACGUGCCAGCAGCCGCGGUAAUACGUAAGGAGCGAGCGUUGUCCGGAUUUACUGGGCGUAAAGAGCUCGUAGGUGGUUUCUUAGGUCUCACGUGAAAUUCCCUGGCUCAACUGGGGAGGGUCGUGGGAAACCGAGAAGCUAGAGGGCAGGAGAGGAGAGUGGAAUUCCCGGUGUAGCGGUGAAAUGCGUAGAGAUCGGGAGGAACACCAGUGGUGAAGACGGCUCUCUGGACUGUCCCUGACACUGAGGAGCGAAAGCCAGGGGAGCAAACCGGAUUAGAUACCCGGGUAGUCCUGGCUGUAAACGAUGGGUACUAGGUGUGGGGGGUUCGACCCCCUCCGUGCCGCAGUUAACGCAUUAAGUACCCCGCCUGGGGAGUACGGCCGCAAGGGUUGAAACUCAAUGAAUUGACGG
rnacentral:rRNA from 1 species